UACACAGAUCCAAGUGGCCUGGUUGUUGGCUUAAUCUGGAUGAAGGCACAGAGCUGGGCACACACAUAGGCACUUGGGCAUGGGCACACGCAUGGGCACACAAUACACAGAUUCGGGUGGAUGUAUUUCGGGCUUAAUCCAGGUGAAAUCACAGAGCUUGCCACACACGUGUGGGCACCCAGGCUCACAGACAUUCAGCCCUGCCAGACACACGGACAAGCGCCCGAUCAGAGACACAGAGGGCACAUACAGAUACUUGUAGACCCCCACGGAUAUGCCCUCCCUCCCUCCCUCCCCCAAGCCAUCCUGGCUUUCCACAUGUCAGUUGAUUUGGCUCCACCAGCUCCUGUACUGGUCCCCGGGCCGGGUUGCACUGGGUAUUGGCCCGGCUGGGGAAGCGGAGACGAAGGGACGAUUCUUAGGUGACUCCUCGCCAGGGCUCAGAUUUUCCGGUGCCAGUGUUGCCGUAAACACAGGCAUUUCCGGAUCCUGCCAGCAGGGGGCAGACUGGCUCCAUCCAGCCAUCCUCAGAGGAGGAACCAGAGGCUCAGAGAAAGAAAGGGACAUAGUGAGCAGGGUCAGACUGGGACCCGAACCCAGGAGUCCUGAUUCUGAAGAAGUCCCAGAUCCUUGACUUGACUUUGACUUUUCCCCAUGAUUGGAGACUGGCUGCUCUGGAGGGAACAUGAGGACAAAGAGAUGCCCAGAUGCUUGUGGAUUUGGAGAAAGGCUUACAGACCUAUUUGCCCCCUUUGUGGAAUGAAGAAACCAAUACCAGAGACUUGGAACACUGACAAAGCCACGAGAGGGAUAAAUAAACGUACAGAUCUGGCUGGGAGUCA
rnacentral:lncRNA from 1 species